rnacentral:rRNA from 1 species
UUAGUGGCGGACGGGUGAGUAACGCGUGGAUAACCUGCCGUAUACAGGGGGAGUAACACUUAGAAAUAGGUGCUAAUACCGCAUAAGCGCACGGUUCCGCAUGGAACAGUGUGAAAAACUCCGGUGGUAUACGAUGGAUCCGCGUCUGAUUAGCCAGUUGGCGGGGUAACGGCCCACCAAAGCGACGAUCAGUAGCCGGCCUGAGAGGGUGAACGGCCACAUUGGGACUGAGACACGGCCCAAACUCCUACGGAAGGCAGCAG